CCAGCCGUAAACCAUGAACACUAGGUGUGGGGGGUAUCGACCCCUUCCGUGCCGCAGCCAACGCAAUAAGUGUUCCGCCUGGGGAGUACGGCCGCAAGGUUGAAACUCAAAGGAAUUGACGGGGGCCCGCACAAGCGGUGGAGUAUGUGGUUUAAUUCGAAGCAACGCGAAGAACCUUACCAAGGCUUGACAUCGAUGGAAGGCGUCUGAAAGGGCGCCGCUCUUCGGAGCCAGAAGACAGGUGG
rnacentral:rRNA from 1 species